rnacentral:tRNA from 1 species
GUGACGUGGGUGAGUGGUUGAAACCGGAAACUGCAAGAGCAGUUUCGUCGCAAGUUCGAAUCUUGCCGUCGCCG